rnacentral:rRNA from 1 species
GACGAACGCUGGCGGCGUGCCUAAUACAUGCAAGUCGAGCGAAGUUUUUCUGGUGCUUGCACUAGAAAAACUUAGCGGCGAACGGGUGAGUAACACGUAAAGAACCUGCCUCAUAGACUGGGACAACUAUUGGAAACGAUAGCUAAUACCGGAUAACAGUAUUUCUCGCAUGAGAGAUAUUUAAAAGUUGGUUAUGCUAACACUAUGAGAUGGCUUUGCGGUGCAUUAGCUAGUUGGUGGGGUAGAGGCCCACCAAGGCGACGAUGCAUAGCCGACCUGAGAGGGUGAUCGGCCACACCGAGACUGAGACACGGCCCAGACUCCUACGGGAGGCAGCAGUAGCGAAUCUUCCGCAAUGGGCGAAAGCCUGACGGAGCAACGCCGCGUGAGUGAAGAAGGAGUUCGGUUCGUAAAGCUCUGUUGUUAGGGAAGAAUGGAUAUGUAGUAACUAUACAUGUAAGAGACGGUACCUAACCAGAAAGCCACGGCUAACUACGUG